GGUGCUGGGAGUAGGGCGCAAGAUGUCGGCGGAUGCAGCUCCGAGGAGGUAGGCAGUGGGAGCCGGCGUUCAGUCCGGCCCGUGCCAACAGUGGUUCCUCUCUCCCCCGUAGUUCGAGGAGACCACGCGCUGCCCCUCUGGCACGAUCGUGGAUGAACCCCCUGGCAACUGAAAUGGGAAAGGCAGCGCCCCCGACUCUGGGGACUGGACCGAAGUCCACGGUAGUGACAGCUGCCAGACCCUGAGGAGAGGACGAGAAGACCCGAGGCCUCUGCUACGAACACUGGCAGCCGAUGGAAAAUUCAGACGGAUUUGGGACAGUAUGCAGAGUUCUCCAAGCGACAGAUUAACAGAGGCUCUUGAAGAAUAACUGCGUAAUCACGUGUUCUGCUCAAAAGAAGGCCUGAAUGCCCAGUGCCUUAUUUGGCUUUCAGGGGUCUUGCGGUGUCACCCAGGCUAGAGUACAGUGGUGCAAUCAUAGCUCACUGCUGCCUCAAACUCCUAGACUCAAGCAAUCCUCCUGCUUCAGCCUCCCGAGUAGCUGGGACUACAGGUAGAUGAUGGGCUCCACGGGAACAGAGCAAACGUUCGCUCCUGCUCCUACACGGUGUUUCCUCUAAACCUGAGGCUCAGCCGACUUGUCAUCACUUAAAACCCAAUUCAGAGCGGGGGGGCACUGCCAGUGAAUAGUUCAUCACCGACUCAGUUUCCCCAUGUGUAUGCUGUGGUAUUGGAUCAGCAACGAGAUAAGAAGAUCUCUCCCAUUUCCAAGCGUCUAUGAUGAUUCUGAGGCACAAGGUCACAUUUGACAGUACUAGGAAACCCAGGAAACAAGAAGCAAAGAUGACAAAGGCUGUGUCUGCCUGGGCAGACGAUCUAUUUGGACAAGAUAAUAGACCCAGGCAUGGACAUGCUCUCCAAGAAAGAUGCCCUGACAGCUGCUCACACUGAAGCUGAAUCGAACAUUCCAAUCCUUAGAGGUUCCAGCGAAGAUCUUGAAGUCUCCCUGAGCCAUUGACACAAUGGCCAUGCCAUCCCAGUGAUAAAACACAAAUUGUGGCCUUGUUUUGGACAGAAAUAAAGAGCCCAGUUUGUUAGUGA
rnacentral:lncRNA from 1 species